rnacentral:tRNA from 1 species
UCCUGGUGGCUCAGAUGGUAAAGCGUCUGCCUACAAUGCAGGAGACCUGGGUUCAAUCCCUGGGUCAGGAA